rnacentral:rRNA from 1 species
GAUGAACGCUAGCUACAGGCUUAACACAUGCAAGUCGAGGGGUAACGAGAGGAAAGCUUGCUUUCCUUGUCGACGACCGGCGCACGGGUGAGUAACGCGUAUCCAACCUGCCCCCAACUAGGGAAUAACCUUGCGAAAGUAAGACUAAUACCCUAUAAUUUCCUCAGAUGUCAUCUGACGAGGAAUAAAGAUUUAUCGGUUGUGGAUGGGGAUGCGUCUGAUUAGCUUGUUGGCGGGGUAACGGCCCACCAAGGCAACGAUCAGUAGGGGUUCUGAGAGGAAGGUCCCCCACAUUGGAACUGAGACACGGUCCAAACUCCUACGGGAGGCAGCAGUGAGGAAUAUUGGUCAAUGGGCGGAAGCCUGAACCAGCCAAGUAGCGUGCAGGAUGACGGCCCUAUGGGUUGUAAACUGCUUUUAUACAGGAAUAAGGUUAGCCACGUGUGGUUAUUUGUAGGUACUGUACGAAUAAGGACCGGCUAAUUCCGUGCCAGCCGCCGCAGUAA